ensembl:lncRNA
GCACUACUUAUGACCAAGAGCCAUACACAGGUUGGCUGACGUCACGAAAAACAAUGGCCGGAAUGCGUGUAUCUUGUUAUGACUCUAAACCUCAGCUAGCAACAAUAAGCUGCCGUGUGGGGAAUAGUAGAUCUUCGGCAUGUUUCAGCUCGUUGUAUCUUGUUAUUGACACCAUGUCGUCUUGUUUGGAGGAUCACAUAUUCCUACAAAUUCAGAGUCUGUAGUAGGUCAAAGGUCACCGCCUAUGGAGAGGUAGGCCCAGAGCCAUGUAUUUGGAAAGUUGGGACAUUCAAAUAUCUGCAUUGUUGCAUUUACAUCAAUAUGUAUACAUUACAUGACACAGUAUAAUCAAAUAUAUCCAUAUUUGGCUCCCCAUGGGCAAUAUUGACAUUUUAAACAAUGCUAUGUAACAGAAAAUCUAUUUUAUAAUUGACUUGUAAUGAAAGGCUCAAAGGUGUUAACAUGGAGUCCUUUCUAAAAGUUUGCCAAAUUCUCUAAAUAUAUAACUCUGGAUAGGCAGAGUCAUCUCAGAGUAUUGGAACCAUAGAAUUCCAGUGAUUCUAUUCUAACUCUAGAAUGAUUAAUUCUACUUCUAUUAUUCUAAUUCUAUAAUUGGAGCACAUCCUCACACUAUAGCACAUUAUAGUGACCUUAGAGAGAUUCCUUUUUCUGUAUCUAGAUCUGAUAAAGAUCACAGAGCGGUUGAGAGACAGACCAAGUUGAGAGACAGAUAUCCCAACUCUGUCACUAGAGGCUGAAGGAGAGAUUGAGAUGCAGGAGGCUGAUCUGAAGACAGAUGGCACGUCUCAGUCACAGAAGGUUGAAGGAGAGAUUGAGUUGGACGAUGCUGUUGCCAUCCCAUCUCAGUCACAGAAGGUUGAAGGAGAGAUUGAGUUGGACGAGGCCGUUGUCAUCCCAUCUCAGUCACAGAAGGUUGAAGGAGAGAUUGAGUUGGACGAGGCUGUUGCCAUCCCAUCUCAGUCACAGAAGGUUGAAGGAGAGAUUGAGUUGGACGAUGCUGUUGCCAUCCCAUCUCAGUCACAGAAGGUUGAAGGAGAGAUUGAGUUGGACCAGGCCGUUGUCAUCCCAUCUCAGUCAAAGGAGGAGGCCAAAGGAGAGAGUGAGUUGAAUCAGGUUGAUCUGAAGACAGCCACAUCAACUGACACUGGGGGUCGAAGGAGAGAGUGUGAUGCAGGAGAGUGAUGAUCUAGAAACAGCCGGUCCAUCUCAAUCCCAGGAGACUGAAUGAGUGGCAAAGGCAAAUGCUUCCAGAUAACACUGUGUGUGUGUGUACAUGUCUGUUUGUGCGUGCAGACAGUUGUUUGUAAACAGACAUUGUGUUAACAGUGCAAUGGCGAAUUUGAUUGAAUUCCAGCCUAACUCUGCUUUCUGUUGUCCCCAUCAGGCUGCAGUGGUGGGCUUCACUAACGUGACCCCCAAGGCUGCAGCCUCCCAGACCAGCCUCACCCUCAGGGGAAAGAGAAGCUACCCAGAGCUAAAGCACCCAGAGAUUUCCACCUCGAUAAUAUACAGGUCUUUGCUUCUCGACUCAUCUCUCACCUCCUCUAACAUGGUCACUGAGAGCAUUAUCUUCAACAGUCCACGCCCAUCAGAGGAGAAUGUGAGUAUUCAGAAG